AUUACUUACCACACACCAUAAAAGGUGUGGCAUUAAGUUGAUUGAUGAGCCUAAGUGCUAGUAAUAAUACUUGAAUUACGUUAUAGUAGAAUACUUGAUAAUUAAGAAAAGCUUAAUCAUAUAUGAUAAUUAAGCGAAGUUAUAGUUAUCUUGAAAUACUCCACUAGGUUCAAGUUCUAAUGUCAAUGGUUAAACAUCUCUAAUGGUAGGAGAAAUGCUGUUGAUAUACAAAACCUACUAUACAUUGGCGAAGUGGACGUACCCUUGCUAUUAAACAGGAGG
rnacentral:sRNA from 1 species